rnacentral:rRNA from 1 species
GUGCCAGCAGCCGCGGUAAUACGUAGGUGGCAAGCGUUGUCCGGAUUUAUUGGGCGUAAAGCGAGCGCAGGCGGUUUCUUAAGUCUGAUGUGAAAGCCCCCGGCUCAACCGGGGAGGGUCAUUGGAAACUGGGAGACUUGAGUGCAGAAGAGGAGAGUGGAAUUCCAUGUGUAGCGGUGAAAUGCGUAGAUAUAUGGAGGAACACCAGUGGCGAAGGCGGCUCUCUGGUCUGUAACUGACGCUGAGGCUCGAAAGCGUGGGGAGCGAACAGGAUUAGAUACCCUGGUAGUCCACGCCGUAAACGAUGAGUGCUAAGUGUUGGAGGGUUUCCGCCCUUCAGUGCUGCAGCAAACGCAUUAAGCACUCCGCCUGGGGGGUACGACCGCAAGGUUGAAACUCAAAGGAAUUGACGGGGGCCCGCACAAGCGGUGGAGCAUGUGGUUUAAUUCGAAGCAACGCGAAGAACCUUACCAGGUCUUGACAUCCUUUGACCACUCUAGAGAUAGAGCUUCCCCUUCGGGGGCAAAGUGACAGGUGGUGCAUGGUUGUCGUCAGCUCGUGUCGUGAGAUGUUGGGUUAAGUCCCGCAACGAGCGCAACCCUUAUUGUUAGUUGCCAUCAUUUAGUUGGGCACUCU